UACGUAGGGUGCAAGCGUUAAUCGGAAUUACUGGGCGUAAAGCGUGCGCAGGCGGCUUUGCAAGACAGAUGUGAAAUCCCCGGGCUUAACCUGGGAACUGCAUUUGUGACUGCAUGGCUGGAGUGCGGCAGAGGGGGAUGGAAUUCCGCGUGUAGCAGUGAAAUGCGUAGAUAUGCGGAGGAACACCGAUGGCGAAGGCAAUCCCCUGGGCCUGCACUGACGCUCAUGCACGAAAGCGUGGGAGCAACAGG
rnacentral:rRNA from 1 species